rnacentral:rRNA from 1 species
UACGUAGGGUGCAAGCGUUAAUCGGAAUUACUGGGCGUAAAGCGUGCGCAGGCGGUUUUGUAAGACAGAUGUGAAAUCCCCGGGCUUAACCUGGGAACUGCAUUUGUGACUGCAUGGCUGGAGUGCGGCAGAGGGGGAUGGAAUUCCGCGUGUAGCAGUGAAAUGCGUAGAUAUGCGGAGGAACACCGAUGGCGAAGGCAAUCCCCUGGGCCUGCACUGACGCUCAUGCACGAAAGCGUGGGGAGCAAACAGG